rnacentral:rRNA from 1 species
AUUGAACGCUGGCGGCAGGCCUAACACAUGCAAGUCGAACGGUAACAGGAAACAGCUUGCUGUUUCGCUGACGAGUGGCGGACGGGUGAGUCAUGUCUGGGAAACUGCCUGAUGGAGGGGGAUAACUACUGGAAACGGUAGCUAAUACCGCAUAACGUCGCAAGACCAAAGAGGGGGACCUUCGGGCCUCUUGCCAUCGGAUGUGCCCAGAUGGGAUUAGCUUGUAGGUGGGGUAACGGCUCACCUAGGCGACGAUCCCUAGCUGGUCUGAGAGGAUGACCGGCCACAUUGGAACUGAGCCACGGUCCAGACUCCUACGGGAGGCAGCAGUGGGGAAUAUUGCACAAUGGGCGCAAGCCUGAUGCAGCCAUGCCGCGUGUAUGAAGAAGGCCUUCGGGUUGUAAAGUACUUUCAGCGGGGAGGAAGGGAGUAAAGUUAAUACCUUUACUCAUUGACGUUACCCGCAGAAGAAGCACCGGCUAACUCCGUG